rnacentral:rRNA from 1 species
UGGGGAAUAUUGCACAAUGGGCGCAAGCCUGAUGCAGCCAUGCCGCGUGUAUGAAGAAGGCCUUCGGGUUGUAAAGUACUUUCAGUCGGGAGGAAGGUGGUAAGGUUAAUAACCUUAUCAAUUGACGUUACCGACAGAAGAAGCACCGGCUAACUCCGUGCCAGCAGCCGCGGUAAUACGGAGGGUGCAAGCGUUAAUCGGAAUUACUGGGCGUAAAGCGCACGCAGGCGGUUGAUUGAGUCAGAUGUGAAAUCCCCGGGCUUAACUCGGGAAUUGCAUCUGAUACUGGUCAGCUAGAGUCUUGUAGAGGGGGGUAGAAUUCCAUGUGUAGCGGUGAAAUGCGUAGAGAUGUGGAGGAAUACCGGUGGCGAAGGCGGCCCCCUGGACAAAGACUGACGCUCAGGUGCGAAAGCGUGGGGAGCAAACAGG